rnacentral:rRNA from 1 species
UACGAAGGGGGCUAGCGUUGCUCGGAAUCACUGGGCGUAAAGCGCACGUAGGCGGCUUUCUAAGUCAGGGGUGAAAUCCUGGAGCUCAACUCCAGAACUGCCUUUGAUACUGGAGAGCUUGAGUCCGGAAGAGGUGAGUGGAACUCCGAGUGUAGAGGUGAAAUUCGUAGAUAUUCGGAAGAACACCAGUGGCGAAGGCGGCUGACUGGACAUGUAUUGACGCUG